CCAUAUAUAAUCCCAUCAUUUCCUGAAAGCACAAGUUUUAGAAACAGAGGGGUAGAAUUACAGUAAUAAGAACAAAAAAUGAAAAAGUACAAUGCUAUAAUUGGGUAGAAUUUUCAAAGUACAAUGUCUUCAUAAGAAAAAGUUGAAAGUCCAUUAUUGUAAUAGAAGAGAUGAAACUAAGAUGCUAAAAAGGACAAAUAAAUGAAAGUAAGUUGUUACUUACUGCAUUUAUCCCUAAAAAAAUAAUCUACACUGCAAUAACCAGACACCUAACUGAGCAUCAAUAAGCCUUACUGGCAAAAAGAUUAAAAACUCAAAUAAAUAAAGUCAUGUUAUUGGAGAUAGAUGUUUAUGUUUAUGUGUGUUAUUAUAUGAUAACAAGACAAAGUUAGCGAAAAGUUCAGCAAAGUCAAACACAUUACAUUGUGAUUGAACAAACAAAAAGAUUUGAAGUUAUUUUUGAAAAUGACACAACCUUUAACCCAGUCAAUAUGAGUUGUUGAAGGUUCUAGCAUCAAACAAUCUUAUCAGUGCAAUUGAUAAGAAAAUGAUUAUCCAUCAUACCAGUAUCAGAAGAACGAAUCUCUGACAAAAAGCUCACCAACUACCUAAAUGUCAAAGUGAUUAGCAACUGAUCACAACUUAAACCAUUUAAAAAUAUCAACUCGAGGAACUUACAAUAUGUAAUUUAAAUGAGCCAAAAAGCCUGCACAUGCAUUCAUUAUAAUCAAAUCCAGGUUAUUUAAAUGAGCAACAAUGCACUUGAAAAACUUUACAUGUAACUAACAGGAUGAUCAAAGGAUUCAUGGUGUCUGAAAAGGAUACACAUCUACUCAGUAGAUGUACAAGUUUGUUAUUGAAAAUUUGGAACUAUGUUAGUACUGUAGUACAAAAUCAAGUUGAGAAGCUGCAAGGGCAAAUGAAUAAAUAAAUAAUUUUAAAAUGAUAAAAGUUGAACUCUCAGAACUAUGUGCAACUUUCACUCGGUAUAAUUAAGUAAAAUCAUGUCAUUAAUUUACCUUUGUUAUAGUUCAAGUAGAUCCUUGGGUAUAGUGUUUGAUCCUUUUAGUGACGAUGACGCAAUUCUUAGAAAGAAAAAAAAAACAGAAAUCGUUGUUGAAAAGAUACACGCUACCUAGAAAUUAGAGGAGAAAAAUAUGCACUCCUUUACUUGAUCGAUGAUGACUGUGAACUGACAUUGGAACCAGACGUUAUACUACAACCUCAAAGCAUAAAGGUACAACCCAAUAUCCCGAUGAACCCAGUGAUGAAGGGAGGGCUGAAGAACCUAGGCCUAAUUGAAAAUACUUAACAAAAGCAACAACGAAAUCAAUAAUACGCAAUAACAAAAGAAAUAAUACACAUAAAUAAAAAAUCAAGAACGUUACCUAAGAGAUGAAGAGGGGAACGCAGAUGAUUGUUGAACGCCGGAGAAUGAAAGAAAGAGGAAACAAUGGUAUCGAUAGAAGAAAAAGAGAGGAAAGGUGGUGCCUCAAAAAUAAAACCCUCUACUGCUUCUUCUUGAAAGGUGUUUAGAGAGCAG
rnacentral:lncRNA from 1 species